CACAUUGUUGUGUUACUUUUUCAUUGAACUUGUCUAUCACUAUCCUCUCAACACAAAGGUUGUGAAUUUCAAAGCACACACUUAGCCUUUUAGUUUGACUACAAUCUAAUUGACUAUAAGCUUGUCAGUUUUACUAUCUUGGAUCUUGGUUCUCUACAAGCAUUAUUUUCUCACUCAACCAAUAAAAACCGACUACUACGUAUACGAAACAGUACAUAAUACUGAAAGUGGCAUUUAACACCAAUUAACCAUUGACAUAAAUCACACAUAUGACAGAAUAAUUGAAAAAUUGGAAACCUUUAAAUGUUGUGUUUUU
rnacentral:lncRNA from 1 species